AUGAUGUGCGGUUUCAGUACUACUAGGUGUGAGGAGGAGGAGGUUAGCCUUGAUGGGCAGGUGGUGCCUCAGAAGGACACCUUUCGAUAUUUGGGGUCAAUGCUGCAGGAGGAUGGGGGUAUUGAUGAAGAUGUGAACCAUCGAAUCAAAGCCGGAUGGAUGAAGUGGCGCCAAGCUUCUGGCAUUCUUUGUGAUAAGAGAGUGCAACAAAAGCUAAAAGGCAAGUUCUACAAGACAGUGGUUCAACCCGCAAUGUUGUAUGGCGCUGAGUGUUGGCCGACUAAAAGGCGACAUGUUCAACAGUUAGGCGUGCGGAGAUGCGUAUGUUGA
rnacentral:rRNA from 1 species